rnacentral:lncRNA from 1 species
UGGUUGUCGUUUGUUUAUGUGUUACACAUUUGUUUUUCGUUCAUUUUUUUACAUAAAUAAGGCCGUUAGUUUUCUCGUUUGAAUUGUUUUACAUUGUCUUAUCGGGGCCUUUUAUAGCUGACUAUGCGGUAUGGGCUUUGCUCAUUGUUGAAGACCGUACGGUGACCUAUAGUUGUUAAUGUCUGUGUCAUUUUGGUCUUUUGUGGAUAUUUGUCUCAUUGGCAAUCAUACCACAUCUUUUUUUAUAUAU